rnacentral:rRNA from 1 species
UGGCGGCAGGCUUAACACAUGCAAGUCGAGCGGUAGCAGAUCUAGCUUGCUAGAUGCUGACGAGCGGCGGACGGGUGAGUAACGCGUAGGAACCUGCCCAGUAGUGGGGGAUAGCCCGGGGAAACUCGGAUUAAUACCGCAUACGCUCUACGGAGGAAAGAGGGGGCUUCGGCUCUCGCUACUGGAUAGGCCUGCGUGAGAUUAGCUAGUUGGUGAGGUAAUGGCUCACCAAGGCGACGAUCUCUAGCUGGUCUGAGAGGAUGAUCAGCCACACUGGGACUGAGACACGGCCCAGACUCCUACGGGAGGCAGCAGUGGGGAAUAUUGCGCAAUGGGCGCAAGCCUGAUGCAGCCAUGCCGCGUGUGUGAAGAAGGCUUUCGGGUUGUAAAGCACUUUCAGUGGGGAGGAAGGCCUCGUAGUUAAUAGCUGCGAGGAUUGACGUUACCCACAGAAGAAGCACCGGCUAACUCCGUG